rnacentral:rRNA from 1 species
GAUGAACGUUGGCGACGUGCCUAACACAUGCCAGUCGAGCGGAGAAGAAGAGAGUGAACUUUUCGGAGUGAACUUUUUUCGGAUCAGCGGCGGACGGGUGAGUAAUACAUGAGGAACCUGCCCUCUACAAGGGGAUAGCCGGGGGAAACCGCGAUUAAUACCCUAUGAGACCACGAAAGCGCAUGCUUUUGAGGUUAAAGAUUUAUCGGUAGAAGAUGGCCUCAUGACCCAUUAGCUAGUUGGUUAUUUAACAGACCACCAAGGCGACGAUGGGUAGCUGGUCUGAGAGGAUGAUCAGCCACACUGGAACUGAGACACGGCCCAGACUCCUACGGGAGGCAGCAGUGGGGAAUAUUGGACAAUGGGGGAAAGCCUGAUCCAGCAAUGCCGCGUGAGUGAAGAAGGCCUUAGGGUUGUAAAGCUCUGUUACCCGGGAUGAUAAUGACAGUACCGUGAGAAUAAGCUCCGGCUAACUCCGUG